AUACGCACGGCAUUGAUAUUGUGUACCUUAACCCAAAAAUCUUAGGCCUGGCAAACACAGAGAAGAGACAUAUAGAAUAAUAGCUACCUAUUGAUAAUCCAAACAUAACAUAAAAAUAUGUGUCCCUAGUGGUGUUUUAUCUCUAACAAGGAUUAAAUGCUUUCUCCUAAAUGAAUGUCAUUAUGUUUCAAAAGUUUGCUAAUUAUUUGAUAAUCGUCAAAUGCAUCCAAGAUUUACAACUCCAAAUAAACAUUCAGUGUUAGAACUGGCUUUCAUUCAUGACUCCAGAGAGACCUUUCCUCACUGCUGUGUCUGAAGCAAACUCACAUUCCUGCCAACUUUCUCUAAGGAUAUUACACUGUUUACCUGCCUCUUCAAGAUCCUUAGGCCUUACAUCCCUGGUGCACUAUUCUAACUCCGGUGCCAAACACGUAACAGCACUCAAGAAAUGACUUGUUAAAGGAGUAAAUCUGAAUGUCCUAUUUGAUGUUGGGCCCUUAGAGG
rnacentral:lncRNA from 1 species